rnacentral:rRNA from 1 species
GGAGGAAAGUAGGGGAUCGAAAGACCUUAUGCUUUUGGAGCGGCCGAUGUCUGAUUAGCUAGUUGGUAAGGUAAAGGCUUACCAAGGCAACGAUCAGUAGUUGGUCUGAGAGGACGACCAGCCACACUGGGACUGAGACACGGCCCAGACUCCUACGGGAGGCAGCAGUGGGGAAUUUUGGACAAUGGGCGCAAGCCUGAUCCAGCAAUGCCGCGUGAGUGAAGAAGGCCUUCGGGUUGUAGAGCUCUUUCAGUCGAGAAGAAAAGAUCGUGACUAAUAAUCAUGAUUCAUGACGGUAUCGACAGAAGAAGCACCGGCUAACUACGUGCCAGCAGCCGCGGUAAUACGUAGGGUGCAAGCGUUAAUCGGAAUUACUGGGCGUAAAGGGUGCGCAGGCGGUUCUGCAAGUCAGAUGUGAAAUCCCCGGGCUUAACCUGGGAACUGCGUUUGAAACUACAAAGCUAG